UUAAGCGACUAAGCGUACACGGUGGAUGCCCUGGCAGUCAGAGGCGAUGAAGGACGUGCUAAUCUGCGAUAAGCGUCGGUAAGGUGAUAUGAACCGUUAUAACCGGCGAUUUCCGAAUGGGGAAACCCAGUGUGAUUCGUCACACUAUCAUUAACUGAAUCCAUAGGUUAAUGAGGCGAACCGGGGGAACUGAAACAUCUAAGUACCCCGAGGAAAAGAAAUCAACCGAGAUUCCCCCAGUAGCGGCGAGCGAACGGGGAGCAGCCCAGAGCCUGAAUCAGUGUGUGUGUUAGUGGAAGCGUCUGGAAAGGCGCGCGAUACAGGGUGACAGCCCCGUACACAAAAAUGCACAUGCUGUGAGCUCGAUGAGUAGGGCGGGACACGUGGUAUCCUGUCUGAAUAUGGGGGGACCAUCCUCCAAGGCUAAAUACUCCUGACUGACCGAUAGUGAACCAGUACCGUGAGGGAAAGGCGAAAAGAACCCCGGCGAGGGGAGUGAAAAAGAACCUGAAACCGUGUACGUACAAGCAGUGGGAGCACGCUUAGGCGUGUGACUGCGUACCUUUUGUAUAAUGGGUCAGCGACUUAUAUUCUGUAGCAAGGUUAACCGAAUAGGGGAGCCGAAGGGAAACCGAGUCUUAACUGGGCGUUAAGUUGCAGGGUAUAGACCCGAAACCCGGUGAUCUAGCCAUGGGCAGGUUGAAGGUUGGGUAACACUAACUGGAGGACCGAACCGACUAAUGUUGAAAAAUUAGCGGAUGACUUGUGGCUGGGGGUGAAAGGCCAAUCAAACCGGGAGAUAGCUGGUUCUCCCCGAAAGCUAUUUAGGUAGCGCCUCGUGAAUUCAUCUCCGGGGGUAGAGCACUGUUUCGGCAAGGGGGUCAUCCCGACUUACCAACCCGAUGCAAACUGCGAAUACCGGAGAAUGUUAUCACGGGAGACACACGGCGGGUGCUAACGUCCGUCGCGAAGAGGGAAACAACCCAGACCGCCAGCUAAGGUCCCAAAGUCAUGGUUAAGUGGGAAACGAUGUGGGAAGGCCCAGACAGCCAGGAUGUUGGCUUAGAAGCAGCCAUCAUUUAAAGAAAGCGUAAUAGCUCACUGGUCGAGUCGGCCUGCGCGGAAGAUGUAACGGGGCUAAACCAUGCACCGAAGCUGCGGCAGCGACACUAUGUGUUGUUGGGUAGGGGAGCGUUCUGUAAGCCUGUGAAGGUGUACUGUGAGGUAUGCUGGAGGUAUCAGAAGUGCGAAUGCUGACAUAAGUAACGAUAAAGCGGGUGAAAAGCCCGCUCGCCGGAAGACCAAGGGUUCCUGUCCAACGUUAAUCGGGGCAGGGUGAGUCGACCCCUAAGGCGAGGCCGAAAGGCGUAGUCGAUGGGAAACAGGUUAAUAUUCCUGUACUUGGUGUUACUGCGAAGGGGGGACGGAGAAGGCUAUGUUGGCCGGGCGACGGUUGUCCCGGUUUAAGCGUGUAGGCUGGUUUUCCAGGCAAAUCCGGAAAACUAAGGCUGAGGCGUGAUGACGAGGCACUACGGUGCUGAAGCAACAAAUGCCCUGCUUCCAGGAAAAGCCUCUAAGCAUCAGGUAACAUCAAAUCGUACCCCAAACCGACACAGGUGGUCAGGUAGAGAAUACCAAGGCGCUUGAGAGAACUCGGGUGAAGGAACUAGGCAAAAUGGUGCCGUAACUUCGGGAGAAGGCACGCUGAUAUGUAGGUGAAGUCCCUCGCGGAUGGAGCUGAAAUCAGUCGAAGAUACCAGCUGGCUGCAACUGUUUAUUAAAAACACAGCACUGUGCAAACACGAAAGUGGACGUAUACGGUGUGACGCCUGCCCGGUGCCGGAAGGUUAAUUGAUGGGGUCAGCGCAAGCGAAGCUCUUGAUCGAAGCCCCGGUAAACGGCGGCCGUAACUAUAACGGUCCUAAGGUAGCGAAAUUCCUUGUCGGGUAAGUUCCGACCUGCACGAAUGGCGUAAUGAUGGCCAGGCUGUCUCCACCCGAGACUCAGUGAAAUUGAACUCGCUGUGAAGAUGCAGUGUACCCGCGGCAAGACGGAAAGACCCCGUGAACCUUUACUAUAGCUUGACACUGAACAUUGAGCCUUGAUGUGUAGGAUAGGUGGGAGGCUUUGAAGUGUGGACGCCAGUCUGCAUGGAGCCGACCUUGAAAUACCACCCUUUAAUGUUUGAUGUUCUAACGUUGACCCGUAAUCCGGGUUGCGGACAGUGUCUGGUGGGUAGUUUGACUGGGGCGGUCUCCUCCUAAAGAGUAACGGAGGAGCACGAAGGUUGGCUAAUCCUGGUCGGACAUCAGGAGGUUAGUGCAAUGGCAUAAGCCAGCUUGACUGCGAGCGUGACGGCGCGAGCAGGUGCGAAAGCAGGUCAUAGUGAUCCGGUGGUUCUGAAUGGAAGGGCCAUCGCUCAACGGAUAAAAGGUACUCCGGGGAUAACAGGCUGAUACCGCCCAAGAGUUCAUAUCGACGGCGGUGUUUGGCACCUCGAUGUCGGCUCAUCACAUCCUGGGGCUGAAGUAGGUCCCAAGGGUAUGGCUGUUCGCCAUUUAAAGUGGUACGCGAGCUGGGUUUAGAACGUCGUGAGACAGUUCGGUCCCUAUCUGCCGUGGGCGCUGGAGAACUGAGGGGGGCUGCUCCUAGUACGAGAGGACCGGAGUGGACGCAUCACUGGUGUUCGGGUUGUCAUGCCAAUGGCACUGCCCGGUAGCUAAAUGCGGAAGAGAUAAGUGCUGAAAGCAUCUAAGCACGAAACUUGCCCCGAGAUGAGUUCUCCCUGACUCCUUGAGAGUCCUGAAGGAACGUUGAAGACGACGACGUUGAUAGGCCGGGUGUGUAAGCGCAGCGAUGCGUUGAGCUAACCGGUACUAAUGAACCGUGAGGCUUAACCUU
rnacentral:rRNA from 1 species